GCCCGGUUGGCUCAGUCGGUAGAGCGUGUGACUCUUAAGUACUUGAUAACAGUUGUCUGAGGGAUCUCAAGGUCGCGAGUUCGAGCCUCGCAUUGGGCU